AUUGAAUGCUGGCGGCAGGCUUAACACAUGCAAGUCGAGCGGAGAUGAGGUGCUUGCACCUUAUCUUAGCGGCGGACGGGUGAGUAAUGCUUAGGAAUCUGCCUAUUAGUGGGGGACAACAUUCCGAAAGGAAUGCUAAUACCGCAUACGUCCUACGGGAGAAAGCAGGGGAUCUUCGGACCUUGCGCUAAUAGAUGAGCCUAAGUCGGAUUAGCUAGUUGGUGGGGUAAAGGCCUACCAAGGCGACGAUCUGUAGCGGGUCUGAGAGGAUGAUCAGCCACACUGUGACUGAGACACGGCCCAGACUCCUACGGGAGGCAGCAGUGGGGAAUAUUGGACAAUGGGGGGAACCCUGAUCCAGCCAUGCCGCGUGUGUGAAGAAGGCCUUAUGGUUGUAAAGCACUUUAAGCGAGGAGGAGGCUACUGAGACUAAUACUCUUAGAUAGUGGACGUUACUCGCAGAAUAAGCACCGGCUAACUCUGUGCCAGCCGCCGCGGUAAUAC
rnacentral:rRNA from 1 species